rnacentral:rRNA from 1 species
CCUGGCGGCUGCAGUGGGGAAUAUUUGGCAAUGGGCGCAAGCCUGACCCAGCAACGCCGCGUGAAGGAAGAAGGCUUUCGGGUUGUAAACUUCUUUUCUCAGGGACGAAGCAAGUGACGGUACCUGAGGAAUAAGCCACGGCUAACUACGUGCCAGCAGCCGCGGUAAUACGUAGGUGGCAAGCGUUAUCCGGAUUUACUGGGUGUAAAGGGCGUGUAGGCGGGACUGCAAGUCAGAUGUGAAAACCACGGGCUCAACCUGUGGCCUGCAUUUGAAACUGUAGUUCUUGAGUACUGGAGAGGCAGACGGAAGUCCUAGUGUAGCGGUGAAAUGCGUAGAUAUUAGGAGGAACACCAGUGGCGAAGGCGGUCUGCUGGACAGCAACUGACGCUGAGGCGCGAAAGCGUGGGGAGCAAACAGGAUUAGAUACCCCUGUAGUC